UACGUAGGGUGCAAGCGUUAAUCGGAAUUACUGGGCGUAAAGCGUGCGCAGGCGGUUGUGUAAGACAGAUGUGAAAUCCCCGGGCUCAACCUGGGAACUGCAUCCGAAACUGGCUUGCUAGAGUAUGGGAGAGGGAAGUGGAAUUUCCGGUGUAGCGGUGAAAUGCGUAGAUAUCGGAAGGAACAUCAGUGGCGAAGGCGACUUCCUGGACCAAUACUGACGCUCAGGUGCGAAAGCGUGGGGAGCAAACAGG
rnacentral:rRNA from 1 species